GGGCCGCGGGGAUGGCGGCGCAGGGCGUAGGGCCUGGGCCGGGGUCGGCGGCGCCCCCGGGGCUGGAGGCGGCCCGGCAGAAGCUGGCGCUGCGGCGGAAGAAGGUGCUGAGCACCGAGGAGAUGGAGCUGUACGAGCUGGCUCAGGCGGCGGGCGGCGGUAUCGACCCCGACGUGUUCAAGAUCCUGGUGGACCUGCUGAAGCUGAACGUGGCCCCCCUCGCCGUCUUCCAGAUGCUGAAGUCCAUGUGUGCCGGGCAGAGGCUAGCGAGCGAGCCCCAGGACCCUGCGGCCGUGUCUCUGCCCACGUCGAGCGUGCCCGAGACCCGAGGCUUGAGUGACAACUUGAGGACAAGGCGGUGCCUCGACAAGAUUUCACACAGCAGCUACGCGGGCCAGAGAAGCAGCACCACAUGGUGUGGCAGGAGAAGGAGGACAUGCACAAGCAAUUGGUUGAAGCUUCAGAGACAUUGAAAUCCCAAGCCAAAGAACUGAAAGAUGCCCAUCAGCAGCAAAAGCUGGCCCUGCAGGAGUUCUUGGAGCUCAAUGAGCUCAUGGCAGAGCUCUACUCCCAGAAGCAGAAGGUGUGGGACAAGGAGGAGGAGAUGGAAGUAGCCAUGCAGAAAGCUGACAUGAUGUGGCAGGAGAUCUGAAGAUCCAAGAAGCUCAGAAAGAGGAUGCUGUUUAGCCAGAUGCGGUGGCUCACGCCUGUAAUCCCAGCACUUUGGGAGGUCGAGGCGGGCGGAUGGCCUGAGGUCAAGAGUUUGAGACCAGCCUGGCCAACAUGGUGAAACCCCGUCUCUAUUAAAAAUGCAAAAAUUAACCAGGCAUGGUAUUGGGUGCCUGUAAUCCUAGCUACUUGGGAGGCUGAAGCAGGAGAAUUGCUUGAACCUGGGAGGCGGAGGUUGCAGUGAGCCAAGAUCAUGCCACUGCACUCCAGCCUGGGCAACAAGAGCAAAACUCUGUCUCAAAAAAAAAAG
rnacentral:sRNA from 1 species